rnacentral:lncRNA from 1 species
UGGCGGCCCCAGAUUUGGAAUGGUCACAGGCGAUCUCUUCAGCUGGCCGGACAAAGAUUCUCGGGAUUUUGGGGAGGCCGGAAUCAGAGAGGCCUUUCACACCUGAUUUCGUUUCGUCGAAGUCUUUUAGCUCUUGGUUGCGAUUGUAGGUCGAUGGAGCGACGCCGGUCGAAUCAGUGGCGACCUCCAUUUUCGCACCUCGCUUUUAUUAGCUAUCAAGCAAGAGGGAUAAGUUACAAGUGAUAGAGGUCGAUGAUACACUGUGCACGCUCUUUCAAACCAGUCCCUGACACCCAAUUCAGAUCCCAAAGAACUAAACUUUCGGACUUCCCAGGAAGCCUGGAAAGCUGGAGUUUUCGGUGGGAAUCAAAUCUGGGUCUGGUGCAGAUUUGAGAAGGAAGUAGUUAAAAGGGUGAAGAACACAGCCGGGCAACAACAGUGGAUAGAGAUAGAGAGAGAGGAGAGAGAGAGAGAGAGAAAGAGAGAGGAAUUGGCAUUAAAAUUAGGACGAGCGGAACAUCGGAAGAUGGACUUUUCGUUUCUUUACCAUGUUCAUGUCUUUUUGCGGGCAGCAAAGACCUUAUCAAUUAUAGAAAAGGGGAGGAAGGAAUGGGCUGAAUUCGAGGCAACGGUCUGAAGUGUCAAGUGGUGCGACCGGAUUUGGCGUGCCGCAGCCUUCCAGCCCCAAACUCAACUGCGACUGCUCAUAACAUAAAACAAGUAAAAUCGCACCUACUCCUCUCCCACGCUUCGAGGGGUCGUGUGUUGCGGAAACAUCUUGGGCUUUGGCCUUUUUUUCUCAGGGUGUGUCUGUCCUUUGAACAAGAAGCAAAGUACCCGUAGCAAAGUCUUCUAUAACUCCAGUAGCAUUUCAAGAAUGCGUGGGUUAUAUUCUAAGAUCCCAUAAGAAAAAUGGUUAAUAUUAUGAAAACUUUUCAAAAUGAUACAAUUGUGACAAAUUUAUCUUUCGUUAAUUUUAGUUAAAUCAUAUUGUUAUAUAACUAAGUUAGAUGACACGUAACAUUUGACGGGUGUACUAAUUUAGGGUUUUACUCUCCAUUUAUCAUAUGUGCGUCAAAUUAUAGUUUUUUGUGGUAUUAAUCUAAUUAAUUCAUGACAAAUGUAACGGUUUAGAAUUUUUGAUGAUUAAAGAAUUAGUUUGGAGUAAAUUUAUCAUGGAUGUAAUGGUUUAAGAUAUUUAGUGAUCAAAAAAUUAAUUUAUGAUAAAUUUAUCACAAGUGAGUCUUUUUGGAAUUUUUCGUGGUAUUCUCACCCUAAGGAAAAACACUAACUUUAUACAAUUUUCGUAUUGCAACUAUAGUUUUGACCAAGCGUUUGCCACAUCGUCCCUACAUUAGGCCGAUCCAAUGCAAGGUCUUCUCAGUGAGCACCAAGGAUUGGGAUAUUCAAUUAUUUCGAUUGUAUCCAUUUCCCUUAUAUGCUUUUCCUUUUAUCACGAGAUAUAGUGAAGUGCAGAGUUCAGUUAAUACAGAAUGGGGACUCUUGUAUGAUCAAAUAAUGAAGGCCUACACGCAAAGCUUUUAUGGGCAGAUGAAAGAAUUUGGCAAAUUUUCCGAAGCGUAUAGGAAAAGGAAAUCACAUUAUAGAUCGGGACCGCGCCCGUUGCCACUUUCCCUCAGGAUUCUUCACCGUCACGACAUCGACGCCGCUUUAAUGAGAGAUGAGGAGGAGGAGAAGAGGAAGAAAUUAGUGGUGGUUGUGCAGGUUGUGAAUCAUCAGUGUUGGUGGUAAAAACAGCGACAAACAACGAUGGCGAAGCUCCGCGGCAAUUUCCGCAAAGGGAAACUAGGACGGGGCCCAUCUCUCGAGCCCACGUCCAUUUCAAUGUUUCCUUUUCUUUUGAUUCGCUUUUUCCGUGAUAUUUAGAUUAAUAUCACAAAAAACUCUAAAUUAUAUCUAUUGUGAUAUAAAUCCCUUGAACUUUUUUGUAUCGCUAAGAACCCUAAACUUGCAUAUUGUGACAAAAAUAUCCAAAUUUUUUACUAGCUUGACAAAUAGACCCUGAAUAGAACUAAUGUAAAUAGUGUAUGAUAAAUUUAAGUUUUUUCAUGACACAAAAUCUCACAUUGAGCAAGCUUAAGGUUUUUGGUGACAUAAAAAAAAAGAUUUGGGCAUUUGUGUCACAAUAGGUAUAGUUUGAAGGUUUUUUUUUUUUUUAAUGGUAUUUGUGCAUGAGAUUUUCUGAAACUUGAUUCCAAAGUAGAUUUUCCUUCUUAAAAUGUGAAAAUAUUUUUAUCAUGAGCCACAUAAGCGUAAUUGAAAUCUAAAUGUACUACUAACAAAAGAAUAAUAUGGAAAAAUGGACCGGUUAUCACUCCAUUGAAAUGAGUAAAAAAGAGGGUUAAUUCCAUAAAAAAAAAACAUCAACUUUAGGUCGAUAGACAAAUCUGGUCAAAACUUUUUUAGUUCAUGAAAAAGCACAAACUUUAGGUUGAGGGACAAAUCUAGCCCGAAUUUUUUUUUUUGUUUCGUAAAAAGGCACUAACUUUAGGUUAAGUGAUAAUUUUGGCCCCAAUUUUUUUUUUUCAUAAAAAAUCACAAACUUUCACUUCUAUCCAAAAUCUAACCCUUACAAUUAACUUUCUAUUUGAAUUUAACCUUAGGUUCUAGCCAUGAGGUUGGUGGAUCUCAUCCAUGGUUUCUCUUGAUGGACGGUGAUCUACAGUUUCAAAUUACGACAAAUGAUAAAGUCUAGCUAGAGAAAUUCAAUUUGGAGAUUUUUUUACUUGCUAGUGAAAUAUAGGAGACGACACGGUUUCACUGUUAUUCUUUAAAUUGUGGCUCAAACGAGAAGACAAUGGAUGAUGUUAGCCAGCAAGUGCACAUGGAUUUAUUGGUAAGGACAAUCAAUGAAUUUUAGCUAAGGGGGGCCAGAUUUAAGAUUUAAGUGAAAGUUGGUGAAUUUUUUUUCGAAAGAAAAAAAAAUUGGGCCAGAAUUGUCAUUUAAUCUAAAGUUUGUGUUUUUUUACGUGACAAAAAAAAAUUUAGCCAGAUUUGUCACUCGACAUAAGGUUAGUGUUUUUUUACGAGACAAAAAAAUGUUUGGGCCAUUUUUGUCCAUUGAGUUAAAGUUGAUGCUUUUUUUUUUUUUUGAAUUAACUCGUAAAAAAGAGAUAGAGGACUCAAUUGCAAAAACUGCACAAGUUGAACUACCGAAACAUUCAUCCAUCCCAAAAUUUGAACAUAAGACACUUAUGGAAACUUCAAAUGAAAAAUGGGAAAUUAUAUUUUCAAGAGAAAUGCUCAUGCUAAUGUCCUUAAUCUACUGUGAUAUUAAUAUCAUAUUUUGGGCCACAAAAAUACAAAUAAUAAAUAAUUAGAAAUUUGUAAAGCAUGUUCUCAAAUCAUCGUACAAAUACUUGAUUUUUGUAGUUUCAUCCACCUCCUGAGUUAUGGCAUAGUAUGCUGGAACCAAUCUAAUCUUGCAGUCCAAACUAGCCCGGCAAUCUGAAAGGUGCAAGAGCCGUUUGGCCAUCGAGCCCCUUCGAGUAAUAGUGCGUCAUGAACUCUCCGAGGGUGAUCUCACGGUACAAAGCCGGCCUAUCUUCCGACAGCAGCUCCUUUAUCGGUCCAUACACCUUGGACGUUGGAUCUUCAUAAAGAGUGAAGAAGCAGGCGAUGGAUAGCCUCGGGCCGACAUCUUUUGACAGCACUCGGUGCUCGAAGCUUUUGUAAAUGUCGUUCGAGAUAAGCUGCCAAGAAACAAAACAAGACACAGAUAAGCAGAACAAUCGAACCUCUUCCAUCUGUGUCUCUGUGUCUCUUUCUAAUUUGUGUCCUAAAACAACAGAAGGCGAAUCCCAGAAGAAACUCGUUAUGUUACUUUAGGAGCGGAAUUGAGAGCACGCCUGGAGGAGAUCUCCAAUGUUGACAACGAGAGCACCCGCAACAGGAGGGACAUCAACCCAUUGAUCCUCGUAAUAAACUUGAAGCCCUCCGAUCUCGUCCUGUAGAAGGAUCGUGAGGAAGUCAGGAUCGGAAUGACUGGCAGUGCCGACAGUCAGAUCGGGUUCGGGGCAGGCCGGGCAAUAGUGAUAGAGAAGAGCAUGCCCUUUUGCACAGUCCACGUUGGCAAGGUAGUCCGGCCUGAGGCCAAGCGCUUCUGAUAGUAAUUCGAGCAGAGUGGAUGCUAGCGCCUUCAAUCGCUUGGAGUACUCUAUUAUUGCAUCUUUUAGGUUUCAAAAAUUUUAAAAUUGGCUGGAUAUGAUGAGACCGACUCAAUUUCAGUCAAAAGUAUGAGGCGCGGGGAUAAAAUCUAUUCAGGCAUAUGGAGGUUACCUGCAAACAAGAGGCAACUCCUGUGGAUCGGGCGGCUCGGGUUCCAUGAGGCAGAAUAAAGUAUCCCUCCAUAGCGCAUGCCUCGACUUGUACAGGUCGAAAUUGCACGAAAAUUUCACCCUCCUCUUGCCCUCCCGCUCGUAGUACUGAGCCUUCACUACCUUCGGCAGCUCAUGGAAAGCACACGCCGCCCUGAACGCCCCUUCCAAUAUGCUAUACCCUAAUUUGCUUUUGUGGACCAGACUUAGGGGUUGCUCAAUUAUUUUUCGUUGCAAUGUAUGCGGUCCAAUAUGAUUUAUCAUUUUCGAUUGUUGUCCUCCAUCGGGCUGCGCUGCUUAGCAGAAAGUGGUGAAGUAGGACCUAUUAAGGAGUAAUAAAAAGUUCAAGUGAAAUAUUGGGAGAUGACAGAGGUCAACGAUCAGUGAGGUUCACAAAACUGAUUAAAGGCUAAAUUGAAAAUAAUUCUUAAGCGAGAAGCUUAAAUUCAGUUGAACUUUGAUCAUUUUCAGUCGCACCACAAAUAUGUAAAGCACACAUGGCCAACUAAAGAUUAAAGUUACAAUUAAAUUAAAAAUUGCCGUGCGAUAAAGAUGAAGGAUCUUCACUAAUACUUUUGCAGAAAAUGAUUCUUUAAGAGGAGCACGAAUCUCAUUCAUGUUCAGAUUUUAGCUGCCAUUUUGACUUAGCAUAAAACGUUGGCUCUAAUAAUCAAACGUCAGUAUGUAAUGUUGGCAUAGAAGUGUUAAAUAAAGAUUGGAUGAUAGCAUGCUAUUGACACUUGAAUUUUGCUUGCGUGCCCAUGUCACACAUUCAUCAUUCUAAAUUCAUUUUUCUCGCACCGAUUUUUUUUUGGCAUUUUUAAACGGGGGACGUCGUAGUUUCAAGACCUGGGGCCCCAUGACCAAAAUUUUGACAGUCGAAGGCCUGAGAGUCAACCCAUGCCGCCUGCCCAACCUGGUUUUUACAUAUAAAGCCGAUUGGGCCUUGGCCCAAUCCAGGCUCACAAAGGCCCACAAAAACCUGCACUAAGGCCCAUCAAGACCGUUCAAGCAGCUCCCAACAGUUUUAGUUUGGUGAUUAUGGUAGUGGUUUCCUUAAAAGUGCCGACCAUUAUGGUUUGUUUGAGAAAAGCCACUAUGUGGAUCCUCCACUCCUUCCUCAAGGAUUGUUUUUGUAGCCACCAUUGUGUCGCUGUGACAUAAAACGCUAUUGAACUAUUUGGAAGCAUGAUUGGACUGUAACUUAUAGCUUUGAAGUUGUGCAACCACUUCAAUGUGAGAUAAAACAGGAGGCCUGUACAGUGUCGUUUUGAAGGACUCAUAGCUGUCAUCAAGUCCUUCAAGUUAUUGGAAGACUUUAUUAGCAUCCAACACAAGUUUACCAAUGAAUGCAAUUGAUUGCAAAUAGAUUUAUCGUUGAGAAGAUAAAUAAAUAAAGGCUUAUUUUCUUUCUUGAUAUGUUGAAGUUGUCCAAUGAGGUCAAGUUCGAGACAUCGAGCCUUGCUUCAAAUGAUUGGUGAGAGCUCUCCAUACUUCUACUAUUGUUUGAAGUCCCACGCAUGUUAGAGAACCUCUUUUGAGAGCGUGCCCACGAUCCAAGACUUUACAAGGCGGUCACUUUGCACCUAUGCUGUAUAUUAUGGAUUAUUUUCUUCGGUUGCAUUUUUCGAUGUUUGAGUCUACGAUGGUGCAUCUAUCUCUUGGGUAAGGAAACCAAGUAAGUCUCCACUUUCAAUUAGAGAUAAUACUUAUGUCUCCCAAAGUAAAAAGUUGUUUUUAUUGAGCCUAAACAAAACAAAAUUUGCCACAUUGAUAUUUAAAGGAAAUGGAAAUCUUGGGUUUGAAGAAGACAACGACAAGAUUGUAUCAAUUUUUUUUUUUUAAAAAAAAGAAAAGAUAAGUCGACCUUUGCGUGGCUCUAAUACCAUAAAGAAAAAAGAUCAUUGAAUUGAUGAAACUUUACCUUUUUAGUGAUAUUUUAUACAAUAUAAACAGAUAUAUCACCAUCUAUAAUUAUGUGGAAAAUAAAGACAAAAUAUAACAAUUUAAUGCACAGGGAAAUUGAAUAAAAAAAAUCAUAAAAGAUUUCCAAAUAAUUAAUUCGUGGAUAAUUUGCUUGAUGUGUUAUCUUCAUGCUCAUUUAUAAAAAGAUUAUUCACUAUAGCCAUUGUGAUCUUCUACUUUUUGAUUUGAUACUCCAAUAGCUUUGUUGUCCGCCAAGGAUUCUAAGCCAAAUUCAUAGUUAAAAAUCAAGGUAUUAUGACUUGCCUAACCCUUUUAUGCAGGCAUCACAAGCCUAUUCACCCUAUAUGACCAUAACUCACAAGAUCAUGUCUUAGGAUUUAAUAACAAGGCAAUGUAACAUUCUUUACCCAAUAAUGAUUCUUAUUGAUUUGAUGGAGGGUAAAUGUGUCACACAACUACAAAUUUGAGAUUUUUAGUAUCAUCAAAAAUUAUUUAGAGUAAAUGUCACAAUUGACUGGAAAAGCAAAUGGUAUUGAUAUAGCACCCACGAUGCUUAAAUGAAAUAAAAAAAAAACGACAUUGUUUUGGCUGAAAAUUAUUUAACAGAACUUGAUAAUGUUAUAUGUUACGUAAAUACAAGUUUUAGAUUUUUUUUUUAUGUUAUAUUAAAAAUUUAGAGUAAAUGUCACAAUUGAUUGGGAUUUUUUAUGCUCCAAAAAAAGGUUCUGGGUAAAUAUAUCACCGUGUGUGUAUUUUUAAGUUUUUCUGUGACUCUUUUCCUUUAAAUUUUUUACGGCCGGUGAAACUUAUACGAUGAAAUAAUGAAGCCCUAGUCACUAAAAGUUUUUUAUUCUGCAGAUGAAAGAAUUUUGCAGACUCUCAAGAAGUAUUGAAAGGGGAAUCUCCGAAUUAGAUGAAAAGGGAGCGUGAGGUAUUGAACUCGGGAGACCACGCCAUUUUCAAUUUCCACGCAAAGAGGGCCAUCGUCUCUCCUCCCUUGGAAGUCUUCACCGUGAUGAUAUGGACACCACUUCGUGAGAGAGAGAGAAAGAGAGAAGAAGACUGGUGCUGGUUGUGCGGACGUGAAUUAUCAGUGCUAGUGAUAAGAACAGUAAAAGGGACACGGACAAUGGAUGUCCACGACAACCUCAGCGAAGGGAAACUACGACCACACCUUUCUCUCGGACCUUAUCCCCUUCAAGUUUUUCCCUUCUGUUUUGCUUCACUUAGUUUGUGAGUUUUCUCCUUCACUUAAUCUCAGACGAAAUACUCCUUAAAAUGUCAGAAAUUGUCAUGCCAUGAGCCUUAAUAGCACUAUCAGAGAUAUCAAAUUUGAAAGUAUAGAUUUAGAGAUCUGAUGUGCAUAAACUACGAGUUUAAGGGACCGAAAUAGUCAUGUGUCCAAGAUUUGAAAAUAUAGCACUUAUGCAAAUAAUUAAUGACAAGGAGGGUUAUAUUUUUCGAUCACCAGCCUUAUCCAUCAAGUAAUAAAUAGCACUUAAAUGUCAUUUUUUUUUUGGGACAACGUUUUGAGGUCAAUGAAAGAAAUUAUAGUAUUUGAUGAAAUAACAAGAUAAAUAAUAUGAUCUUCACCAUGACGAUUGAUUUCUUUUGCCUCUUGAUUCUCUAUCCUGGCUUCUAAUUACAGCCUACAAGGCAGGUUGGGCUUCUGAUUACCAUCAUUGUAUCUAAUUAUUGUGAGAAUAUUUAUUCUUGUGCCUGCAUACCUCCUUCCAGGGAGAUUGCCUAGAGGAAAUCUAAGUUCAAACUUAUCAACAUAUCCAAUUGAGUUAUAGACCAACUAGAAUAUAUUAGUUGCUUUACACUAUAUCAAUUUUCGGAUGUGAGAUUUUUCUAAUAUAACUCAUACACAUAUGCAUCUUAACAAUCCACAAGUUAUCACAUAAAAUUCUAGAACCAAUCUAAUCUUACAUUGCAAUGUCUAGCUUGGCAAUCUGAACGGUGCAAGAGCCGAUGUGCCAUCGAGCCCCUUCGAGUAAUAGUGCGUCAUGAACUCUCCCAGGGUGAUUUCACGGUACAAAGCCGGCCUAUCUUCCGACAAUAGCUCCUUUAUCGGCCCGUAUAUCUUCGACUUUGGAUCUUCAUAAAGAGUAAAGAAGCAGGCGAUGGAUAACCUCGGGCCAACAUCUUUCGACAGCACUCGGUGCUCGACACUCUUGAAAAUGUCGUUCGACAUAAGCUGCCAGAAAACAAGCAGACAUAUAAGUGGACCGAUAGAGCCUCUUUCAUCUCUGCCUUGCGUUUCUUCCUAAUUCUAGCCAAAGAUCAAUAGAAGGCAAAUCCCGAAAGAAACACGCUACGGUAGUAUUAAGAGCGGGAUCCAGAGCAUGCCUGGAGGAGAUCUCCAAUGUUGACAACUAGAGCGCCUGCGACCGUAGGGACAUCAACCCAUUGAUCCUGGUAAUAAACUUGAAGCCCGCCGAUGUCGUCUUGUAGAAGGAUCGUGAAAAAAUCGGGAUCUGAAUGACUGGCAGUGCCCAAAGUCAGAUCGGGCUCGGGGCAAGCUGGGUAGUAGUGAUAGAGAAGAGCAUGCCCUUUAGCACAGUCCAUGUUGACGAGGUAAUCCGGCUUGAGGCCAAGCGCUUCCGAUAGCAAUUCGAGCAGAGCAAUCCCUACUGCCUUCACUUGCUUAGAGUAUUCCAUUAUCGCGUCUCUGGAUAGGUUUCAGGUACCAAAAAUUUAAACAUGGUUUGGAUAGGACGAGAGAGACUCUAUUUCAGUCCAAGCUGCAAGCCACUGAGAUAGAAUCUAUGGAGGAUUACCUGCAAACAAGAUGCAACUCCUCAGGAUCGAGCGGCUCGGGUUCCAUGAGGCAGAAUAAAGUGUCCCUCCAUGUCGCAUACGUCGUCUUGUACAGGUCAAAAUUGCACGAGAAAUUCACCCUCCUCUUGCCAUCCCGACCAUAGUACUCGGCCUUCACCUCCUUCGGCAGCUCGUGGAAGGAACGUGCCGCAUCGAACGCCCCUUCCAAUAUGCUCUGCGGCACCCCAUGGUUCACCACCUGAAAGAAGCCGACCUCACGCGCUGCCUCCAGGACUUGCUCCACCGUCCCUGGCCGAUCCGUGGCGAGGUUCUUCAGGUCGAUGAUGGGGAUUUGGAUCCUGGCGGCCCCAGAUUUGGAAUGGUCACAGGCGAUCUCUUCAGCUGGCCGGACAAAGAUUCUCGGGAUUUUGGGGAGGCCGGAAUCAGAGAGGCCUUUCACACCUGAUUUCGUUUCGUCGAAGUCUUUUAGCUCUUGGUUGCGAUUGUAGGUCGAUGGAGCGACGCCGGUCGAAUCAGUGGCGACCUCCAUUUUCGCACCUCGCUUUUGUUAGCUAUCAAGCAAGAGGGAUAAGUUACAAGUGAUAGAGGUCGAUGAUACACUGUGCACGCUCUGCGCCUAGACCGUAUCUUAUGCA